rnacentral:rRNA from 1 species
UGCAGCAGGCGCGAAAACUCUACAAUGCAGGCAACUGCGAUAGGGGAACAUCGAGUGAUACUCAUCUUGGGUGUCUGUCCUCCCGUCUAAAAAACGGGAGUUAGCAAGGGCCGGGCAAGACCGGUGCCAGCCGCCGCGGUAAUACCGGCGGCUCGAGUGGUGGCCGAUAUUAUUGAGUCUAAAGGGUCCGUAGCCGGCUUUGCAAGUCUUUUGGGAAAUCCAGCGGCUUAACCGUUGGUCGUCCGGGAGAUACUACAUUGCUUGGGACUGGGAGAGGUAGGAGGUACUCAGGGGGUAGGAGUGAAAUCCUGUAAUCCUUUGGGGACCACCGGUGGCGAAGGCGCCCUACCAGAACAGGUCCGACGGUGAGGGACGAAAGCUAGGGGCACGAACCGGAUUAGAUACCCGGGUAGUCCUAGCCGUAAACGAUGCUCGCUAGGUGUCACAACAAUCGUGAAUUGUUGUGGUGCCGUAGGGAAGCCGUGAAGCGAGCCACUUGGGAAGUACGACCGCAAGGUUGAAACUUAAAGGAAUUGGC